CGCACGAUAACGAGUUGUCUCUAUAAAGACAGACACAUAGACAUAUAAGCAGUAGAUUGUGUCCUUCCAGAGGAGGAAAUCUACUUCUAGACUUCUAGAAUCAGCAUCUCCUCAUCCAUGGUGUCAUCGGGGUGAAAUGACGUCUAAAAACCUUUCACUUGGAUGUUUUAUUUUGUGUCUGUGCCCGACUUCCUUUCCAGCACGGGUUAAUCUGUGCUGAAUUUAUCCGCCAUGCUCCGGCGUCCAGAAAAAAUAGAACUCUUGAUCAGCUGAGGAGUCCGGCGAUCCGCAGAGGAACGGAAAGAAGUCGGUGUAAAUUGACACGUUAACUUGAAUGGUUACGAUCAGCUACGAUCGGAGGAUACGACCUUUUAGGAGACGAUCAGGAUGUGGUGGAAAUUAGG